rnacentral:rRNA from 1 species
AUGUAUUUACCAUUCUAUUUGAAACAAUGCUUUGCAUUCUGUGCCGUGUAUCCCAAAGAUUACAAAUUUGAGAAGGCAUGCUUAGCUGAAAUUUGGGUAGCAGAAGGCUUUGUGGAGCCUCAAGGUGGUGUUCCCAUUCAAGAUAUUUGCUAUCAGUAUUUUGAAGACCUUGUGGCACGGUCCUUCUUUCAAAAGGUUAAUGGUCGAUAUGUAAUCCAUGACUUAUUGCAUGACAUGGCACAAAAAGUUUUAGAGCACGAUUGCUUCAUCUUACGAAAUAAAAUUGACUUUGAUAAAGUUCCCCAGAAUGUUCGCCAUCUAUACAUACUCCCUAGCAGUGAAUUUGAUGAUUCCAACUUGUUGAGACUAUGCAAGUACACGAAGCUGCGCACCCUAAUUUGCAAGUUUAAUUUGAGGAGAAGUACAUGCUUUGUAAUGGACCACUGGUGUACUAAACUUACACGUAUGCGUGUGAUGUCUUGUGCUUUCACAAAUGAAUUACCAGAUAGUAUUGGUAAUUGGAGGCAUCUUCGGUACCUUGAAAUCUCCAGAGCUUGUACUUUGAAGAGGAUUCCUUCAACUUUCUGUUGGCUAUAUAAUAUGCAGAUUUUAUAUGCCAAGAAAUGCACCAUAGAAAGCUUACCCGCUGACUUUGACAAGUUGACCAGUUUACAGAAAUUUGAAGUAAAGGAACUAACAAUUGAUUCAGCCAAUCAAGAGGGACGAGGAAUUAGGUCAAUAAAGCAUCUGAAUCAAAUUCGUGAAUACCUGAUGAUGAAAAAUCUUGGCAUCCUAAGUAAGGAUCAUGCAGCAGAAAGCAUAUCAUUUCCCAUGACCUCACAGAGCAUGAACCUAAAUGAGAUACAUGCAAUUGGUACUUUCUUGUCCUUGACAGACAUAACCAUUGAUAAGGGUGAAAAUAUAUCAAGCCUAGAAGAUUUUUUGCUUCCAGAUUAUAUACCAGCCAUAAAAAAAAUAAGAAUUUCCAAUUGCAAGAUGCUAGAAUCAAUACCAGGUGAAGUGUUUGGGGAUUUCCAUUUCCUUGAAGAAUUAGCAUUCCCGUCCCUUACUAUCCUACAAUUUCAGUACUGUGAUAAAUUGUCAACCCUUCAUGAGCUCCUAACAGAAGAAUAUAUACCUGCUAUUGAGGAAAUUGAAAUCAUUGGGUGUAGGGACUGCCCAAGUCUGAACUGGCACAAGGGGCAGGUGUUUCCAUCAUAUCUCCAA